UCUAUUAUCUUUUUCCGCUCUUUUUCCCUUUGAACUAAUCGCAUUGCGCAUGUAGGUAUGCUAGUUUAACUAAAAAGAAGACAAAGAAAAGAAAGAAAAGUUCCGGAUGCACAAAUAAAGAAAAAACGGAGUGUAAGAGAAACAGAUGAAAUCGCCGCGCUGAAGCAUUUUCAGUUCGCCAUUGGCGCGAGCUUCCUCUUAGACAAAGCUAUAAAUAAAUCACCUCAAUUUAUCAGCUUAUUUGGGCGCCAACCCCUUUCACCAUGUUUCGAAGGUCCAUCCUGCGACUUUCGGCUGGUCAAUCAGUAAAAAGAAUUCCGAUUGAGGUUACAACAUAGUUUGAUACAUUAAAGGGGACACUUCGUCACUUUAGCCUGAUUCCUCCAGGUGGUGGUGGGAUAUUGACAUAUUCUUUGGCUAGUGUAGCAUCAUGGGAAACUAUCAGAAGCUGCUGAUGCACUUGAGAAGGAUUUAAAGGGCACUCAAGCGGGAGGAGUUGUUGAUGAUUUGGUUAAGCGUGCUAGGAAUAGAGCUAUAAUCGAGCAAGCACUAACCUUACUGCAAUCUUAUGACACCACUAAUACUAUCAGCAUAACUUGAAACCAUUAUCAUUAUAGCAUCAAGGUUCAGUUUAUCUGCUGCCUACAAAGUUGCUCGAGAAUGGCUUUUUGAUGAUUAACAUGUUGAAAUUUUCAGUGAUUGCGGCACUUUUAUUUUUGUUGCAAUCCAAGUAAAGUAGUUAUGCCUUUCUUGAUCCGGAAAUAAUCUACGUUGAAAGAUAUAUCACUAUUGAGCAGCAUUAUUGAUAUAUUUAGCAGGAGUAACCAUUGGAUUUUUCUUUUUUUGAUGAACUAUCUUAUUAGCUGUUACCUUGUUUGGUAUGUAUAAUAAAGGCAGCUCAGUCAACUGUAUAACUUCUUUGGUAGUUUUCCGUGGGAGUUGGAUUUGAAAGAGCUCAGCCAAGCAUUGCAAGGUUUCUCUUCUGUUCGAGGAUAAGUGGACAUAAUUCAACUUGAAACAAGAAAGAUUGAAAUUUCUCAAGAAACAUCGAUUAUGUAUAUUCUAACAAUUCUAGUUUAAUUCAUUUUGAAAUACUAGUAAGGGUUUGAAGUGUCAUUUA